CAUGCGUAGGUAUACGUUUUUUUACUCUUGUCGUUUUAAUGCACUCGCACUAUGUUCACAGUGGUUUGAGAACGGACGAAAUGGCAUGUACCAGCAGAUCAAAAAAACGGUGAGUGACCUUAUUAUUUUUUGCGUAAAUAGUUAAAACCAUAAAUAAUAUUAUGUUAAAAUAAUACCUACCUCUAGUCUAUGAAAUUAAAAUAAAGAUAGGAGCACGAGUGUUUAUCAGGGUUUAUUUUGAGGAUUGUUCAAAAGCGGCAAGUCUUCCUUUAUGAAAACAAACUA